UACGUAGGGGGCAAGCGUUGUCCGGAAUUAUUGGGCGUAAAGCGCGCGCAGGCGGUCGAUUAAGUUUGGUGUUUAAGGCUGAGGCUCAACCUCAGUUCGCACUGAAAACUGGUUGACUUGAGUACAGAAGAGGAAAGUGGAAUUCCACGUGUAGCGGUGAAAUGCGUAGAUAUGUGGAGGAACACCAGUGGCGAAGGCGACUUUCUGGGCUGUAACUGACGCUGAGGCGCGAAAGCGUGGGUAGCAAACA
rnacentral:rRNA from 1 species